AGAGUAAUGGGCAGGUGGAGAGAGUGAACCAGGAUGUGGGCAGGUUUCUGCCCAGGGGAGUGGGCAGCGUUCGUGCCCUGGGUCGAGAUUGUCACAGAACUCGCUUCGCCACUCAUCCACUAACCUCUCUCCCUUCCAGUGCGUACUGGGGUACCAGCCGGUUCUGGCGCCUUGGCAUCAGAGUCAGACCGAGGUUCCUGCGGUGGACGACUGGUUCAGGCGCGCGGAAGAGACAUGGGAAGCUGUCCGUGUUCACCUUCAGCAGGCCGUGACGUGCCAAAAGGCUGGUGGUGGCUGGCCCGCUCCAGGAGUCUGAGGUGCGGGAGGUUCCUCCACCCCCUCUAGACAUCGGGGGGCCCCAGCGUACUCCGUUCGCUCCAUACUGGAUUCGAGGCGUCGGGCGAGGGGCCUUCAGUAUCUCGUGGAGUGGGAGGGGUACGGUCUGGAGGAGAGGUGCUGGGUUCCGGUCGAGGACAUGUUGGACCCUUCAAUGCUGCAGGAGUUCCACCGUCUUCGCCCAGGUCGCCCUGCGCCUCGACCUCCGGGUCGUCCCCGAGGCCGGUGUCGACGCGCUGCUGGAGCCACGUCAAGGGGGGGAGUACUGUCACGACUUCCGCCGAAGUUGGUCCCUCUCCUUGUUCGGGCGGCGUCGAAGUCACCGACCUUCUAGCCAUCGCUGAUCCACUUUUCAUUUUCUAUUGGUUUUGUCUUGUCUUCCAUCACACCUGGUUCCAAUUCCAUCAAUUACAUGUUGUGUAUUUAACCCUCUGUUCCCCCUCAUGUCCUUGUCGGUAAUUGUUUCUGGUAGUGCUUUAGCACGGUAUGCUGGUAUUUACCAGGUUUUGUUUGACCCAUUUAUUGUGUUCUGUUGACGGUGGUUUAUGGAUAUUAAAGGACACUGUUGUAAAUCA